AGAGUUUGAUUUUGGCUCAGGAUGAACGCUGGCGGCGUGCUUAACACAUGCAAGUCGAACGAAACACCUUAUUUGAUUUUCUUCGGAACUGAAGAUUUGGUGAUUGAGUGGCGGACGGGUGAGUAACGCGUGGGUAACCUACCCUGUACAGGGGGAUAACAGUCAGAAAUGACUGCUAAUACCGCAUAAGACCACAGCACCGCAUGGUGCAGGGGUAAAAACUCCGGUGGUACAGGAUGGACCCGCGUCUGAUUAGCUGGUUGGUGAGGUAACGGCUCACCAAGGCGACGAUCAGUAGCCGGCUUGAGAGAGUGAACGGCCACAUUGGGACUGAGACACGGCCCAAACUCCUACGGGAGGCAGCAGUGGGGAAUAUUGCACAAUGGGGGAAACCCUGAUGCAGCGACGCCGCGUGAGUGAAGAAGUAUUUCGGUAUGUAAAGCUCUAUCAGCAGGGAAGAAAAUGACGGUACCUGACUAAGAAGCCCCGGCUAACUACGUGCCAGCAGCCGCGGUAAUACGUAGGGGGCAAGCGUUAUCCGGAAUUACUGGGUGUAAAGGGUGCGUAGGUGGUAUGGCAAGUCAGAAGUGAAAACCCAGGGCUUAACUCUGGGACUGCUUUUGAAACUGUCAGACUGGAGUGCAGGAGAGGUAAGCGGAAUUCCUAGUGUAGCGGUGAAAUGCGUAGAUAUUAGGAGGAACGUCAGUGGCGAAGGCGGCUUACUGGACUGAAACUGACACUGAGGCACGAAAGCGUGGGGAGCAAACAGGAUUAGAUACCCUGGUAGUCCACGCCGUAAACGA
rnacentral:rRNA from 1 species